UCAUCCUUUAUUUUCAUUAUUUGUAGGACUCGGGAAAUACUUAAUACAACUCAAUUAAUUGAGCGUCGAGGCUGAGUGGAGGCACUCAGAGGGAGUGUAAAGAAUGUCGUGGAAGAGGAUGGGAUGCUGACUAAGGACCUGGGUAAACUGUGCACAGGAGUAACCCUCAUUGGGUACUCAGGGCAGACUACACUCCAAGAGUGAGCAGAUGGAACCUGCCUAAGAUCCAAGAAGGACGCGUUGGCAGGUGUAUACAGCAUUCGGAACAUAAACCAAUCUCACCUCUGUAGUCUUUCUUGAAAGCAAUUAUUUCCCGCGAGAAGCCAGUAGCAACUGGUGGGCCUUAGGUAACAAGACUGAGGAGCACUCUCAAUUAGGUGAGCCUGUUGGUUCUAGGCAACAAGACUAGUGUGGGAGGCUCUGAGGAGCACUCUCAAUUAGGUGAGCCUGGUGACCGGGGAAACAAGACUAGCGUGUGAAGUUCUGAGGAACAUUCUCAACUUGGUGAGCCUGUGGAACUGAUCAGUAAGAGUUUAAUAGAAAUUAGGUUGUGCCAUGGGUUAGUAUUGUAAGAUGUAAAUGUAAGAUGUAAGAUGUAAAAACACUGAGAGAGAAAUGAGAAAAUAUUCCUGCAGGUUAUAAAAAAAAAAAAAUUAACUAAUUGAUUAGUGUGUUUU